GAUGAACGCUGGCGGCGUGCCUAAUACAUGCAAGUCGAGCGAACAGACGAGGAGCUUGCUCCUCUGACGUUAGCGGCGGACGGGUGAGUAACACGUGGAUAACCUACCUAUAAGACUGGGAUAACUUCGGGAAACCGGAGCUAAUACCGGAUAAUAUAUUGAACCGCAUGGUUCAAUAGUGAAAGACGGUUUUGCAGUCACUUAUAGAUGGAUCCGCGCCGCAUUAGCUAGUUGGUAAGGUAACGGCUUACCAAGGCAACGAUGCGUAGCCGACCUGAGAGGGUUGUCGGCCACCACGGAACGGGAACACGGUCCCACCCCCUAAGGGAGGACACCAGAGGGAACCCUCCCGCAUGGGCCAAAGCCUAAAGGGGCCACCCCGCGGGGGGUAGUAAGGUUUUCGGGUCCGAAAACUCUUUUUUUAGGGAAAAACAAAUUUUUAAGUAACCUUGCCACUUUUGCCGGUACCUAAACAGAAAGCCCCGGCUAACCACC
rnacentral:rRNA from 1 species